GACGAAAAUGGCGAGCGUUGUUCGGAAUCACUAAACAUAAACCGCACGUAAACAAUGCCGUAAGUCGGAUGUGAAAUCCCUCGGCCUAACCGAGGAACUGCGUCCGAUACUGCAGUACUUGAGGAUCAGAGGGGUGCAUGGAAUUUCCGGUGGAGCAAUGAAAUGCGUUAAUAUCAGAAGGAACUCCGGCGGCGAAAGCGAUGCACUGGCUGAUUUCUGACGCUGAAAUGCGAAAGCCAGGGGAGCAAACGGG
rnacentral:rRNA from 1 species